GCCACACCCAGUGUCUCAGAUGCUUUCUGUUGCCUGCAAGUCAAGAUGUCGGACACUUGGCAACUUCUCAGCACCCUCUCUGCCUGCGUACCACCAUGUUGCACCAUGAUGAUAGUGGACAAACCUCUGAAACUAUGAAAACUACAACACCAUGAACAUCAGUUUAAGCUGUUGAUACUCCUGUCUGGCAUGAGCAAAUGUCACUCGGAAGACGCUGUCAGAGCUGAAGAUGAGACAUUUGUAACAGAAUUCACGGGGAAGCAGUCUGCUCCAAGCUACACACUCAAAAAUCCUCCACACUGGACCUGAGACGACAGAAGGAAAACCUGAAAGAAAACACCAUGAAAAUGUUUACAAGGACCAAAGCCAUAGACAGAAUUAAAACUUAAAAAGAAUACACUGGUCAGGAAAAGAGAAGGCAGGCUUUGCUUUUCAGGGAGGGGUGGAGAAGGACUGAGAAACUGGAGUCUCAGGCGUCUCAGAUUGACCUUGAACUCACUAGAUAGCUGUGGAGGACUGCAGUCUAGAUACUCCUGCCUCUACCUCUAGAGGGCUGGGAUUACUGGUUUGUACCAGAACAGCUGAUUUGUGCAGUGCUAGGGAUUGAACCCAUGACUUAGUGCAUGGUAGGCAAGUAUUUGACCAACUGAGCUAAACUGCCAGUCCAAGACCAGGCAAGUUUUAUGGAACCAAAUGCAACUUCUUUUUUCUUGGGGGUGGCAGGUUUCGAGGCAGGGUUUCUCUGUAGCUUUGGAGCCGGUCCUGGAAGUCACUCUGUAGACUAGACUGGCCUCAAAUUCAUAGAGAUCUGCCUGUCUCUGCUUCCCGAGUGCUGGGAUUAAAGGUGUGUGCCACCACAGCCCUGCAACAACUUCUUUAAAAAGAAAAGAAGGUCAAUUAGAGAUAGUAAAAAUAGAGAUUGUGGCCUGGCAGCUAGCACAGGAUCUGACAAGCAAUAGCAGAAUAGGACCAGGAAAAUGACACCAACGGAGAGCGGUGUGAAAGGACAGACAGCAAGAAGACAAACAAUAUGCAAAUUAGUGGAGAGGGAAAGAAAGAUAGGGGGUAGGUGCCAGGAGGCCAGAAAGAGAGACAACUGUGGAAUACAUUAAAUUUGAGAAGGAAGUGUCUGAGAAUGUUUCCAAAUUGAUUAAAAAUGUGAUUUUUAGCUUA